ACAUACGACCAUAGGGUGUGGAGAACAGGGCUUCCCGUCCGCUCAGCCGUACUUAAUCCACACGCCGGUAAGUUAGUAGUUAGGUGGGUGACCACUAGCGAAUCCUUACUGUUGUAUGUU
rnacentral:rRNA from 1 species